GGUCCCAUAGUAUAGUGGUUAGGACACUUGACUCUAAAUCCAAUAACCUAAGUUCAAAUAUCGGUGGAACCU
rnacentral:tRNA from 1 species